rnacentral:rRNA from 1 species
AAUGGGGGAAACCCUGAUGCAGCAACGCCGCGUGGAGGAUGAAGGUUUUGGAUUGUAAACUCCUUUUCUGAGGGAAGAGUAAGGACGGUACCUCAGGAAUAAGUCACGGCUAACUACGUGCCAGCAGCCGCGGUAACACGUAGGUGGCGAGCGUUAUCCGGAUUUACUGGGCGUAAAGGGCACGCAGGCGGUUUGUCAAGUUCGGCGUGAAAUCUCCCGGCUUAACUGGGAGCGGUCGUUGAAAACUGACAAACUUGAGUCGGUGAGAGGGGUGCGGAAUUCCCGGUGUAGUGGUGGAAUGCGUAGAUAUCGGGAGGAACACCAGUGGCGAAGGCGCUCUGCUGGGCCAUCACUGACGCUCAUGGACGAAAGCCAGGGGAGCGAAAGGGAUU